CGAUGGAUAGGGGUUCUGAGAGGAAGGUCCCCCACAUUGGAACUGAGACACGGUCCAAACUCCUACGGGAGGCAGCAGUGAGGAAUAUUGGUCAAUGGGCGAGAGCCUGAACCAGCCAAGUAGCGUGAAGGAUGACUGCCCUAUGGGUUGUAAACUUCUUUUAUAAAGGAAUAAAGUCGGGUAUGGAUACCCGUUUGCAUGUACUUUAUGAAUAAGGAUCGGCUAACUCCGUGCCAGCAGCCGCGGUAAUACGGAGGAUCCGAGCGUUAUCCGGAUUUAUUGGGUUUAAAGGGAGCGUAGAUGGAUGUUUAAGUCAGUUGUGAAAGUUUGCGGCUCAACCGUAAAAUUGCAGUUGAUACUGGAUAUCUUGAGUGCAGUUGAGGCAGGCGGAAUUCGUGGUGUAGCGGUGAAAUGCUUAGAUAUCACGAAGAACUCCGAUUGCGAAGGCAGCCUGCUAAGCUGCAACUGACAUUGAGGCUCGAAAGUGUGGGUAUCAAACAGGAUUAGAUACCCUGGUAGUCCACACGGUAAACGAUGAAUACUCGCUGUUUGCGAUAUACAGCAAGCGGCCAAGCGAAAGCGUUAAGUAUUCCACCUGGGGAGUACGCCGGCAACGGUGAAACUCAAAGGAAUUGACGGGGGCCCGCACAAGC
rnacentral:rRNA from 1 species